CUGUAAAUCUCCACGCAAGAAAUCGCAACGAAGACAAAAUAAUGUUAUUUUAUUGUUUUGACGAUGCAAAAGCUUACAUAAAAAGAAAUGAAAUUGAUACGAAUAACCUACAUAGAAAACUUUGGUAAUUCAGUUUUUACUUCAUCCUCCCAUAAGGUUUGUUGGGUCCAUGGGGUGAACCCUCACAUGUAUGUGAGCCUUGGACAUCAGGUUCUGAAAUGCCACCAUGUUACAGACAAGAAUAAGAAGACAAAACUGGAAAAGGAAAAGACAAAGACAGUUAGCAGUGAGCAACAUUCAUAUGCUAAAUAGAAAACAAGGCAUGCAGUGCAGCUCUCCAAAAAAUUGGACUGUCCUGCUUCUAUCAUUCUGAAAGAAGUGUUGAUAUAUACCCCUGAAGAGGUUGGAUGUGUUUUUUUUCUUUUAUUUAAUUUACCCACAAG